AAUUUGUCAGGAUUCCAAGUUGGAAUAGGUCCAAAAUGCUCAUUCUGCAAACUAAGUUGAUCUGACGGCUCAAAAUGCGGCAGACUCGAAGACAAGUCACCAAAGCCCAGUUUCAUGUCUGUCAAAUGGGCCAGAAACUUCGGUGGUGUAACAAGUCGAUUACCAUGCAACGCCCGUGCCAUCAUUCCUUCAGGAAUACUGGGGAACAAGGAUGACUUGGAAGAUUUUGUCAGCUUAAUUGUCCUAGGGCCUGGGAAGGCUGGCACAUCCAAGAUCUUCAGUUGCUCCUCCUCCCACCUAGCAGCCAAAUCUUCUGUAGUUCUAUUCUUGGAAAAUUUUAGCCUGGGGUCUCUAAGCAUCGCAUCCCAAUUAC
rnacentral:misc_RNA from 1 species